rnacentral:rRNA from 1 species
CCUACGGGUGGCUGCAGUGGGGAAUAUUGCACAAUGGGCGAAAGCCUGAUGCAGCCAUGACGCGUGUGUGAAGAAGGCCUUCGGGUUGUAAAGCACUUUCAGCGAGGAGGAAAGGGUGUUGUUUAAUACACAACAUCUGUGACGUUACUCGCAGAAGAAGCACCGGCUAACUUCGUGCCAGCAGCCGCGGUAAUACGGAGGGUGCAAGCGUUAAUCGGAAUUACUGGGCGUAAAGCGCGCGUAGGCGGUUUGUUAAGUCAGCUGUGAAAGCCCUGGGCUCAACCUGGGAAUUGCAGUUGAUACUGAUCGACUAGAGUACGAGAGAGGGAGGUAGAAUUCCACGUGUAGCGGUGAAAUGCGUAGAGAUCUGAAGGAAUACCGGUGGCGAAGGCGGCCCCCUGGACAAAGACUGACGCUCAGAUGCGAAAGCGUGGGGAGCA